rnacentral:rRNA from 1 species
UUAAAGGGUCCGUAGGCGGCCCUGUAAGUCAGUGGUGAAAUCUCCCGGCUCAACCGGGAAAUUGCCAUUGAUACUGCAGGGCUUGAAUUAUUGGGAAGUAACUAGAAUAUGUAGUGUAGCGGUGAAAUGCUUAGAUAUUACAUGGAAUACCUAUUGCGAAGGCAGGUUACUAUCAAUAUAUUGACGCUGAUGGACGAAAGCGUGGGUAGCGAACAGGAUUAGAUACCCUGGUAGUCCACGCCGUAAACGAUGGAUACUAGCUGUUCGGAGCAAUCUGAGUGGCUAAGCGAAAGUGAUAAGUAUCCCACCUGGGGAGUACGUUCGCAAGAAUGAAACUCAAAGGAAUUGACGGGGGCCCGCACAAGCGGUGGAGCAUGUGGUUUAAUUCGAUGAUACGCGAGGAACCUUACCAAGGCUUAAAUGUAGAUUGACCGGUUUGGAAACAGAUCUUUCGCAAGACAAUUUACAAGGUGCUGCAUGGUUGUCGUCAGCUCGUGCCGUGAGGCGUCAGGUUAAGUCCUAUAACGAGCGCAACCCCUGUCGUUAGUUGCCAGCGAGUCAUGUCGGGAACUCUAACGAGACUGCCAGUGCAAACUGAGAGGAAGGUGGGGAUGACGUCAAAUCAUCACGGCCCUUACGCCUUGGGCUACACACGUGCUACAAUGGACGGUACAGAGAGCAGCCACUGGGCGACCAGGAGCGAAUCUACAAAACCGUUCACAGUUCGGAUCGGAGUCUGCAACUCGACUCCGUGAAGCUGGAAUC